CUGCUCCAGGAUCAUCUCCCUCUGCUCCAGCACCACCUCCCUCUGCUCCAUCAUCUCCCUCUGCUCCAGGAUCAUCUCCCUCUACUCCAGCACCACCUCCCUCUAUUCCAUCAUCUCCCUCUGAUCCAGCACCACCUGAUACGCAGAGAAAAUCCCUAGCAGAGAAAUAUGUCCAUGAAGCUUUUUCUGGAAAAAACGUCUUUGUCCUUCUGUCAAAAGUGAAUGCAUAUAAGUUGUUUUACUCUGACAUUUACAAAAUUGGUCCUGGCAUGGAACUGGUGAGUCAGAUCCUCUGUGACAUGUGCCUAAGGUGGUUCCAUCAGGCAUGUGUGGCUAGCCCACCAACUGAAAAAAACUUUUACUGCUUUGCAUGUUUGCCUUAGGUUCCUGAGUUUGCUGUGGUGUGCUGGUUUAAGCAUGUUGUUUAAUGCUUCAUAAAUGACAUUUUAAAAACUAUGUUUGAUAUUUAUUCUUCCAAGACUUUAUUUUAACAUAGUUAUUGAAAGAUUUAAAUUCCAAGGCCUCUUGCCUUUAUCAAAUGAAGAGCAGAUGUUUUUGAAUCAAAGUUAAGGACUUGCUGGUAAUUUUUUUCCCCAUGUUAUUGGGAGAAUGGAUUAUAUCAGGCAGCUCAAACAGCUGAAAUAAUCUGUCCCCCCCCCCCCCCUUUAAUUUUUGCAAAUAAAGAGUAAAUAUGA